rnacentral:tRNA from 1 species
GCUGGUGUAGCUCAGUUGGUAGAGCAUCUCACUCGUAAUGAGAAGGUCGCGUGUUCGAGUCACGUCACCAGCUCCA